GCACUGAUGAAGAGUCGCAAACUAGGACGAAACAGCUGUCCAGUAC
rnacentral:hammerhead_ribozyme from 1 species